rnacentral:ncRNA from 1 species
UGUGUGAAAUGCAAACCUAGAGAAAUCUAGCGACGCAAAGCUAUAGGGCCUGAAAAGGCAGCCAGUUACCUCA